GUCCUGACCGGCGGCACCGCGAGCCGGGGAGCUCGUGUGGCGGGCUGGGGUCGGAGCGGUGGGCAAAGAGCUCAGCACUGUUGGCCGCGGCGGCCGCGUUGAGAUGCUAGGCUUUUGAUUCCGACCGUUUCAAUGUCUUUAUUUAUGUCGGAGGUUCUAAAAGGAUCCUGAGCAGCGCGGUGUCACAGGGCUUUACGUGAGCUCCGUCACUCAUGUCAUCCAAGUGAACCCUGCAAGAGGUGUGCUGUGCCUCAGUAGGCGCCGUGCAAUCUGCUAGCGAGAAGCCGGCCCCCGUACACAUCGCACACCUGUGCCAGCAACAGCCUAUGAACGUGACGCUGCUGUGAUCGCUAGGGGCUGCAGGGCCCGGGAGCUCCCCUGCAGUGCAGCCGGCUGAGCCAUGGUUUGUGGUAUAAGGAGGACCAGGCGCUGGGGGCUCCGCUCUGCUCGGUGUGACCAACCCGGCGGUGGUUCCUGCAGAUUCUACCUGCUCCGUUUGCUCAGAUGCUGCCCACUGAACGGCCUUGCUCUCCCUCAGAAGGGAAGAAUGCUUAUGAAUGAUCUGGAGUUCAACAAAAGGAUAACAAGAAAAUGUUGGUAUACACAAAGCAUUGGGCACAAAUAGAAGUAAUAAACUGGUAGAGAAAGA